rnacentral:rRNA from 1 species
ACGUAGGUGGCGAGCGUUGUCCGGAAUCACUGGGCGUAAAGGGCGCGUAGGCGGCUUGACAAGUCGCAUGUGAAGGACCAGGGCUCAACCCUGGGAGGGCAUGCGAAACUGGCUAGCUUGAGUGCAGUAGAGGUGGGUAGAAUUCCUGGUGUAGCGGUAAAAUGCGUAGAGAUCAGGAGGAACACCGGUGGCGAAGGCGGCCUCCUGGGCGAAAACUGACGCUGAUGUGCGAAAGCGUGGGGAGCAAACAG